UACAUGGGGUGCAAACGUUGUUCGGAAUUAUUGGGCGUAAAGGGAGCGUAGGCGGUUCGGCAAGUCUUUAGUGAAAUCUCUGGGCUCAACUCAGAGUCUGCUGGAGAAACUGCCGGGCUGGAGUAUGGGAGAGGUGAGUGGAAUUCCCGGUAUAGCGGUGAAAUGCGUAGAUAUCGGGAGGAACACCUGUGGCGAAAGCGGCUCACUGGACCAUUACUGACGCUGAUGCUCGAAAGCUAGGGGAGCAAACAGG
rnacentral:rRNA from 1 species